GAGUAACACGUGGGCAACCUGCCCGCAAGACCGGGAUAACUCCGGGAAACCGGAGCUAAUACCGGAUAACACCGAAGACCGCAUGGUCUUUGGUUGAAAGGCGGCCUUUGGCUGUCACUUGCGGAUGGGCCCGCGGCGCAUUAGCUAGUUGGUGAGGUAACGGCUCACCAAGGCGACGAUGCGUAGCCGGCCUGAGAGGGUGACCGGCCACACUGGGACUGAGACACGGCCCAGACUCCUACGGGAGGCAGCAGUAGGGAAUCUUCCGCAAUGGGCGAAAGCCUGACGGAGCGACGCCGCGUGAGCGAAGAAGGCCUUCGGGUCGUAAAGCUCUGUUGUGAGGGACGAAGGAGCGCCGUUCGAAGAGGGCGGCGCGGUGACGGUACCUCACGAGGAAGCCCCGGCUAACUACGUGCCAGCAGCCGCGGUAAUACGUAGGGGGCGAGCGUUGUCCGGAAUUAUUGGGCGUAAAGCGCGCGCAGGCGGUUCCUUAAGUCUGAUGUGAAAGCCCACGGCUCAACCGUGGAGGGUCAUUGGAAACUGGGGGACUUGAGUGCAGGAAAGGAGAGCGGAAUUCCACGUGUAGCGGUGAAAUGCGUAGAGAUGUGAAGGAACACCAGUGGCGAAGGCGGCUCUCUGGCCUGCAACUGACUCUCAGGCGCGAAAGCGUGGGGAACAAACGGGAUUAGAUACCCUGCUAGUCCACGCCGUAAACGAUGAGUGCUGGUUGUUAGAGGGGUCACAGCCUUUGAGUGCUGCAACUAACGCAAUAAACGCUCCGGGUGGCUAUUACGGCCUGGAAGGCUAAAGUCGGACGUAUUUGAGGGGGGCCCCGCA
rnacentral:rRNA from 1 species